UUCCAUUUAAACUUUUAUGGCAGGCAGAUUAUCAAGAUGAAGUGGGCCGGGACCAAAUGGAUGCCUGUUUCUCAGCAAGCGGUGUCCAACUGCUAAAUUACCCCGGUCUUAUCAGUAUGGGCUAUCAUUAAAGCCGGGGGUUUUCGAUGCACACAUGUGACCCUUCAUGGGCCAUAGGAAUAUGAAGACCGCUUCUUGUAUAUCUUUUCCAUCACGGAACAAUGGUGUUCCGGACCUUUGGGAGGCGUGCGCGGAGCCGUAGGCAACACAUACGGGAUCAUAUCAAUUACGUGGACAAGUCGUAUGGUGGGACAACCUACGACCCCUUUAUAUGGAGCAACAGCGUUAGUCGAGAUUACUUCGAGCAGCUGGCAUGUGUGGCACCAGCGAAAUAGUGUACAUUAGAUAUGGGAACAAGUCAACUACAUCAUUAACAUGGACGCGUCGUACGGCAGGGCAACCCACGACGCCUUCAUAUGUAGCAAUAGCAUUAGUCAAGACUACUUCGAGCAGCGGGCAUGUGGUACCAGCGAAAUAGCGCACAUUAGGUAGAAGACUCCGGGUAUCCACUGCGGGAACACGGGACACCUUAUGAUUUCUGCAAGCGGCGCCGCAGAAGAAUCCCCGAGGCUAUAACGCCAUACAAAAGAAGGCGCGCUCCACUAUAGAGCUAACAUUUGGGAUAUUAAAAGUUACACCACCACCAUGGCCACUACUGUCUGAUCUGUGAUCCGUGCUGUGCCUAUACGCGAAGACCGUACUCCCGACGACGGCGAUGAAAAUAACACUGCCGGCUUUUCAAGGAGCUACAUUACCAGCUGAUAAUGCAACUAUUACCCAAUGCCCCGUACCUACGUAGUAUAGAAGAAGACUAAGACUUAUCUACUAUAUAAGCAGAGGCUAGCAAACUAGUCUUAUUUCCUAUGAGGCCAUGCUGUGGUAAUUAUUAAAUUCACCUUAGAAAGCUAAUGUAAGGCAUAAGGAUAAUAAGGCACAUAUAUUUGAAUCGCCUCCUUUACAGGAAUAAAUUGUGUAAUUUAUUGUACCUGCUAGUUAAACUAAUACACGAUUAGCAGCACUAAGAGUUGUAUUGGCCAAGUUGACUACGGAGUAAUA